GGCCCGUUGGUCAAGGCGACACUCCCUUUCACGGAGGUAACAGGGGUUCGAAUCUCCUACGGGUCACCA
rnacentral:tRNA from 1 species